rnacentral:rRNA from 1 species
GACGAACGCUGGCGGCGUGCCUAAUACAUGCAAGUAGAACGCUGAAGGAGGAGCUUGCUUCUCUGGAUGAGUUGCGAACGGGUGAGUAACGCGUAGGUAACCUGCCUGGUAGUGGGGGAUAACUAUUGGAAACGAUAGCUAAUACCGCAUAAUAGCAGUUGUUGCAUGAUAACUGUUUGAAAGGUGCAAUUGCACCGCUACCAGAUGGACCUGCGUUGUAUUAGCUAGUUGGUGGGGUAACGGCUCACCAAGGCGACGAUACAUAGCCGACCUGAGAGGGUGAUCGGCCACACUGGGACUGAGACACGGCCCAGACUCCUACGGGAGGCAGCAGUAGGGAAUCUUCGGCAAUGGACGGAAGUCUGACCGAGCAACGCCGCGGGAGUGAAGAAGGUUUUCGGAUCGUAAAGCUCUGUUGUAAGAGAAGAACGAGUGUGAGAGUGGAAAGUUCACACUGUGACGGUAUCUUACCAGAAAGAGACGGCUAACUACGUG